UGAACGCUGGCGACGUGUCUAAGGCAUGCAAGUCGAGGGGUCCGUAGCAAUACGGACACCGGCAAACGGGUGCGUAACACAUUGGUAACUUACCCCGAAGUCAUGAAUAAGCCUGCGAAAGCGGGUCUAAUACAUGAUGGAAGCGAGGGGACUAAAGUCAUUCUCGCUUAAAGAUUUAUCGCUUCGGGAAAGGCCUAUGGCUUAUCAGCUAGUUGGUGAGGUAAUGGCUCACCAAGGCUAUGACGAGUAGCGGGAUUGAGAGAUCGACCCGCCUCACUGGGACUGAGAUACUGCCCAGACUCCUACGGGAGGCUGCAGUCAAGAAUAUUCCCCAAUGGCCGAAAGGCUGAGGGAGCGACGUCGCGUGCAUGAAGAAACCCUUCGGGGUGUAAAGUGCUUUUAUAUGUCAAGAAAAUGACGGUAGCAUAUGAAUAAGCACCGGCUAACUCCGU
rnacentral:rRNA from 1 species